rnacentral:lncRNA from 1 species
UCUUGACCUUUCUGGUAUCUCCCUUUCUCUUUACAGAACUCAUGACCUCACAUGAUGACCACAAAUACAUUGGCAUUUGGGCCAAGGCAGCACAGUGCAACUUUGGAAGAAAGACCCUAAGAUCUACACAUUUCUCUUUAACUUCUCAAUAUACAUUUGAGAAGCCAAGUCUAAAACUACUUGCUUUGAAAGGUAAACUAUUUCAACAUUACUUCUAAGAGAGAAUUGAGUUUAUUUAUAUUUUACAAAUCUGUGUUAAUCUACCUUUACUAUCUAAUUUGCAUCUUUAAUAUUUAUUAUGUGUCCCAAGGAAACCAGAAUUGAAAGAGACACGUGUAUCCUUCAUUGCAGCACUGUUUACAAUAGCCAGGACAUGGAAGCAAUCUAGAUGUCCAUCAGCAGACAAAUGGAUAAGAAAGCUGUGGUACAUAUACACAAUGGAGUAUUACUCAGCUAUUAAAAAUGAUGCAUUUGAAUCAGUUCUAAUGAGGUGGAUGAAACUAGAGCCUAUUUUACAGAGUGAAGUAAGUCAGAAAGAAAAACACCAAUACAGUAUAUUAACGCAUAUGUAUGGAAUUUAGAAAGAUGGUAAUGAUGACCCUAUAUGCAAGACAGCAAAAGAGACACAGAUGUAAAAAACAGUCUUUUGGACUCUGUGGGAGAAGGUGAGGAUGGGAUGAUUUGAGAGAAUAGCAUUGAAACAUGUAUAUUAUCAUAUGCGAAAUAGAUCGUCAGUCCAGAUUCAAUGCAUGAGACAGGGUGCUCAGGGCUGGUGCACUGGGAUGAUCCAGAGGGAUGUGAUGGAGAGAGA